rnacentral:rRNA from 1 species
CAGAGGGGGCAAGCGUUGUUCGGAAUUACUGGGCGUAAAGGGCGCGUAGGCGGCCCGCUAAGUCGAACGUGAAAUCCCCGAGCUCAACUCGGGAACUGCGUCCGAUACUGGCGGGCUUGAAUCCGGGAGAGGGAUGCGGAAUUCCAGGUGUAGCGGUGAAAUGCGUAGAUAUCUGGAGGAACACCGGUGGCGAAGGCGGCAUCCUGGACCGGCAUUGACGCUGAGGCGCGAAAGCGAGGGGAGCAAACGGGAUUAGAUACCCCGGUAGUCCUAGCCCUAAACGAUGAAUGCUUGGUGUGGCGGGUAUCGAUCCCUGCCGUGCCGAAGCUAACGCAUUAAGCAUUCCGCCUGGGGAGUACGGUCGCAAGGCUG